CCCUUAGAUGUUCUGGGCUGCACGCGCGCUACACUGAAGCUAUCAAAACGUUUUCCCUCCCUGAGAAGGGCGGGUAACCUUUUGAAUCAGCUUCGUGGUAGGGAUCGGGGCUUGCAAUUGUUCCCCGUGAACCAGGAAUUCCUAGUAGACGCGAGUCAUAAGCUCGCAUCGAUUAAGUCCCUGCCCUUUGUACACACCGCCCGUCGCUACUACCGAUUGAACGUUUUAGUGAGGCAUUUGGACCGACGCAUCUCAGUUUAACCGCUGGUUUGUGUUGGAAAGACUUCCAAACUUGAGCGUUUAGAGGAAGUAAAAGUCGUAACA
rnacentral:rRNA from 1 species